rnacentral:rRNA from 1 species
ACGGAGGGGGCAAGCGUUAUUCGGAUUUACUGGGCGUAAAGCGCACGUAGGCGGCCAGGCGUGUCGACGGUGAAAGCCCUCGGCUCAACCGAGGAACUGCCUUCGAAACUGCCUGGCUUGAGUCCGGGAGGGGGGAGCGGAAUUCCCAGUGUAGCGGUGAAAUGCGUAGAUACUGGGAGGAACACCGGUGGCGAAGGCGGCUCCCUGGACCGGUACUGACGCUGAGGUGCGAAAGCGUGGGUAGCAAACAGG